GAGAGAGAGAGAGAGAGAGAGAAAGAGAGUGACAGAAGAGAGUGAGCACACGCAGGCAAUUGUAUGAAGGGCAUGCCUUUGCGGGUGCGUGCUCACUUCUCU
rnacentral:miRNA from 1 species